AUAAGGUUUAAGAGAAAUAUUCUUAUUGGAAACUUUGAAGGUUACUAGUUUUUUUAACUUAAAACCUUA
rnacentral:tRNA from 1 species